AAAUGUUCUAAUUUCUUCUUUUUCAUAAACUCAACAAAAUUUAAAGACACAAUGAUAUUGGUUGAAUAAUUUUGCAAUGAAAAUAAGUUUUAUAUUUAAAGAAGUGUUUACGAAAUUGGUAAUGAAUUCAUAUACUAUUUCAAACACUUAGUAUGCAAUAGAUCCACGCAUUACUUGUACCUAGUAAUCUUGUUGACAAAUAAUUAAAUAUAUGUGCAACUUUUAGUUUUGAUCUUGAAAAUACCAUUAAUCAAUUCUAAACAACUAUUGAAACCAUUUUGAAAGAGAGAAAAAACUAAUUCAAAUUAAGGUUUGGAAGGGGACAUAGUCCUUGAACCAAGUCAAUAUAUUUAGCCCUUCAGGUUAGAGGGUUCAAUCAUGUAUGAAAGAUAAACUAAGAAGCUAAAAAACUUGACAUAAAUUGAAGGAAUAACUGAAAAUAUAAUAGCAUAAAUGGAAUUCAAGCAUUUAAAAUAAAUAAACUUACACCCAUUUAAUAGUGAAGUUUCAAGGAAUUUCAAGUCUUGAAAUAAAAAUAAGAUAUUCUUCCUUUCUCUCCACACUCUCUCUAGGUGUAGACUAAAAACUACUCCUAAAUUAAGAGAAAAUAAAAGUGAAAAAAUCCUCCAACUAAGGAGAGAAAAAAACCUCACUAAGAAGUUUGAACCUUUUUAAAGGCCAAGAAAACUCCUAAAGCUUCCAAAAAUAUGCUUGUACCAACAAGCUACCUCUAACUUUGUCCAAAAGCUACAUCUAACUUUGUUCAAAAAGUUACAUCUAACUUUGUUCAAAAAGUUAUCUCUAACUUUAUCCAACCACCCUCUUUUGGGCCAACCACUCUCACUCUUAAACCAACAAACUACCUCUUACUGUCUUACAUUGACUUGAAAUGAGUGAGUUUGAUAGGACCAAAUGGCAGGAAAAAAGCAUGAUGCACAAUUGUGCACUAUCAUCCUUUUCAACCGAUUGAGACAAUUCAUCAACCGAUUAAACUUUAAAGUUGGGUGUUUCUACUGCUUCUGAUGAACUGAUAGAAGCUUCUAAUUUAACCGGUUAAAAUUUAAAAAUUUGCAACUCUUUCACUCCAAAUCAUCUAUUCCAUGUUAGCUUUCAGGGGCUCCAUAAGUCUCCUGUGACUUCACAGGGAGACUUAUACAGUAAUGAAGCAACUUUCCACAUAAGGUCAUGGUUAUAAUCAAUUCAAUGGAGGUGUCAACAGGCUCAAAAUCCAAGCUGCCAAAAGCAUAUAUACUAAAUAAGACGAUCGUCACACGAUUCGUUGCACAAUCAUGGUAAUGGCGGAUGGCGGUCAGUAAUCAGUAUUAAGUCAAAUAUCUACUGUUGUACUAGUUGUUGUAUAAUAUGCAGCAGGAGCUAUCUCAACAGUAGAACUAUAUUUCUGUUCAGAACAACAUUUGGUUAUUUGCAUAAGCUCAUGAAGUGAGACAAAAUUAUUUAUUAACUAAAUAAAAUAGGAAGUAAAUGCAAAAAAAUAACAAGAGUGUUCGGGAACUAAUGGAUACUUCUUUAAGAUAAAAUUCAGUUUUACUAAAAUAGCGCAAUGGAAAAGCUAUGUUUGGAUCUUAGGUGAAAUAAAAUAAAAGGAAAGAGUAGAAAAAGAAAAUGACAUUAUAGAAACUGAAUUAUUUUCUUUUUCCCGGUUGGAUUAGAAAAAUGAGAAAAAAGGACUUUUAAUUAAAAAAAAUCCAAUUUUUUGUUUGGCUAUUCAUGAUUAAAAUCCUUUAUUGUUCUUUGGUUAUUUAUAAUUACUUGAAUAAUGUAGGAAUACAUUUAUUUAUAUAAGCAACUUCAUUUCACUUGCAUCAUUUUCCCUUCACUUGGAAAAUUAAAGAUCCAAACAUAGCGUUAUCGUGUCUCAAAAGCUUACAAUUUGGUGGAAAAAAAAAACAGAAAAAAAACAUCUUAACACUAAAAAUAAUCUAAAGACUAGGAUUUUUGUUAUUUUGACAAUCAUCCACUUUUGUAAAAUCACUUCUGGUAUUAAAUCGCUAGUUGUCUCAAAAACUUAAGCAGGUAGGUAAUAGGUCCAAUAAUACACAUCAAGAUAUCCAACACCCUCUAUCACACAAACUGGAAUAAAUACAAACAAAAAAACUUGAACCCAAUUUCUAUAAAAAACCAAAACCUUGAAUUUAGGUCACAAUGAAAUGGGUCCAACAAUGUAUAAACCUAUCUAACAUUUUGCCUCAAACUCCUUGUCCCCCUACUCUCCCAACUAUGCCUCGAGAGUUGAGUUCAAGAUUACCACCACAUCGUGUCGUUGGGAGUGCAUUGAGAUAUGAGACCAGAAGUUUUGGGGACAGAUGAUCCUGGAAAUUGACGGAAGCUUCACCACAACAAGCGAUAGCUUAAACUAGUAUAUAACCUUUAACACUCUUACCAACAACCUUUCCAACACGAACACGAACACUAACACCAUCCCCUCUUUCUCCAGGGAGAGGAAAAUAAAUUAGUUUAGAAGAAAUGAAAAAAACGGAUGAGACCAAAACCCAAUACACAUCGAAUUAUGAUCGACAGAGACAUUGUUCAUUAAAAUGAUUCAAGAUGCUAUAGGAAGCCAAUUAGUGGAAAAGAGGAGUCUGCCAAGAACCUUAAAUGACUAAAUAUUGGUGCACCAGACAGCCUACUUGAUUAGGUUGCAAUUCAAACUAUUGUCAACAAGAAAGAGUAACUCUAUAAAAUUCUCUUAGGUAACAAACCACGAAUAAUGUAGUACAAGAUCCCAUAUACUACAGCACAUAUUCUUACCAUCUAGGUCAAACAAAGAUAAAUCAUACAUUGAGCUGACAUUGUGGUUUAUGGUUUGUCCACAAAGACAAAAACUUUAGUUUUGAAACAUCUCCUGAGACUACCAACCCAACAUGGUACUAAGGCCCUCUGAAGAGAACGACAUAUUCAGGCAGUUAAGUUCAGAAACUGUUUAAUAUGAGAAUGAAGAACACUUUAAAAGGAUGCAAACAAAGAAACUUAAAUUCCAUUACCAAAGGUAACCAAAAUUGUGUAAUUCUGAAUGACAGGAAAAGGAUACUCGAAAUUAUCCCUGGCCCAUAAGCUCUUAUAUCAAGCCAGUCAUGAAGUGACACAAUAUGGUUUGAUGUAACAAAACCAUCAUUCAAGGAAAACAUGGCGUCAAGUUAACUACGACCCAAGAUAAAACAGUUACACAGCAACAAUCCACAAAAGCAAUAUGAUAGCAACACAAAUGGCGUCUUAUCGCACCGUAUAUCAAGACAACUUGGUGUCUUAACGUUUGACUGGAUGAUGAAUAACACCAGGACAAUAAUGUCACCGAGAAAAAUGAUAUUUUCAGAAAAUUAUUAGAACAUAUAUCAAGGUCACACGAUAACAGCAAUGCAAUAAGGCAAUCAUCAACAGUCCAUCAUCAAGGAAACUAGCUACCUGAGGACUAAUUAGUUCUCCAAUAAUGCAGCAAUUUCGUUUGAAACAGAACUGAAAUUUAGCUCUUACCAGGACGGAGAAUAAGGAAAAAAGUAUGUAUCAACAUGACAAGAUUACUUGCAUAUCCUUAGGCAACAGUUAGCCAAGGCAACGUUGGAACAACUAACAACCAUCCCUAGGCAGCAUGUAAAAUCUUUUAGCCCCACUUGAACGUAUGCUUGAACAAUAUGGUUCCAUCGAACCUUUACACCAUUAAUAGAGGCUCCUAUAUACCAAGGAAACUUGAUAUUAAGUUCAUAAUCAUAAUUAUGUGACACUGUAAAAUUCCCCCAAAUGGUAGUUUCCAUAAUUAUAGCAAACACGAAUCGCAAGACCAGGGAAUUAGCCAAAUUCCUAUCUAGCAAGAUAAUAGCUUCUACAUAUCAAGACAAGCAUGUACUGAGCCAUGUGCUGACUUGAACAUUGUAAAGGAAAAUGAUUUAGAAACAGCAUAUGUGUAAAAAUAACUCGUCUAGAUCGAUGGGCAAUGGCACUUUCAAAAUUAUGAGUCAUAGUGGUGGACCUGUGGUUAUUUUGGUUUGAAACGAGAUCACCACGAAAGGCCAUGCUAUUCAAUAUAAGAAUUCCAUAUGAAAAAUCCGGCUUAUUGUUAGCUUACCGCAGACAACAAAUAAUGCCAAAAUAAUUGCAAUGGAACCACACACAAGAAAAUAUAGAGAAAUUUAAAUAUUACUAGCUAUACUGUUAGAAAUUUUGUGUGAAUGAAAGCUAAAGAGGAAUGGUUUAAAACUCCUAAAGGAGUUAUUAUAGAACCAAAUUGCAUCUUUCUUACAGCCCAAUGAUGCUUUAUCUGGGCCAUGACCAGCUCUAAUGGUUGUCAUGGUGAAUUCACAAGCACCUAUGAUGAGGGUUAUGACAACAGAAUUAUAAUGAUUAAAAUAGAGCAUUUGUUUGGCUUAAUGCUGAGGUUUAGCAAUGAAGGAAAAACACACCAAUACAAACACCAACAGAAACAAACACACCAUACAUUUGAGUUCUUUGAGAGAGAGAGAGACAGAUUAACAGUUUAGUUCGCCAAGUACUUUGGAAGGUGUUCCAAAGUUAGUGGUUCUAGCCGUUUUAUCCUGGGAGGAAGAUGCGACAGCACCUACAACACCCUCGGUAGGCGGCGAAUCUUUCUUAGGGAGAUGCGAUUGCAGGACUCGGUUUACUCUGUUUGUAUCUCUAUAUUUCAGUUUCUGAAAUUAAAUUCCUGUAAUUUAAUGUGAUUAAUUGGAAAAUUAUUCUUGAAAUUCUGUAUUGGCCGAAUCAAUUUUUUCCAACACUCUUAAGAAAGAUCCUUUUUUGAUCUUGCGAUAGGCAAUCGAAUUUCAAAAAUGAUUCUGUUCAGUUCUAUGUGGAGAUGCAGAUCUAUACAUGUAGAAAGUGAGAAAAAAAAAAUAAAAAAUAAAAAAAAUUAAACAGUCUGUUUUGAAAGGAAAAAAAAAAUAAUUUCCAUUUACAGAAAUUGAUUUUGAUUAUUGCGGAAACCACAGAUUUUAGUUAAUUUUUUUUUAGAAUACUAGUUUCUCUAUAUUUUUUUAAGAGAAAAAAAAGGGAUUCAACUUCACCGGAAAAACACUUCGGUCGGCAUGGGGUUGUCGAACUCCGGCGAGAUGAAAUGGUAUCGACGUGUGAAGAAAAAAAAAAUUAUAUAGACAGAGAGAGGUCUCUCGUUAUGUAGAAGAAAGAAAGGAAUGAGAGCAAGAGAAAGAAGUUGAGGAUAGAAAGGAAGGAAAAAGGAAAUGAAUCAGAGGAAAGAGGAGAGAGGAGAAAAGAAGUGAAAGAGGAAGGAGAGAGUAUAAAUAAAUACUGCGAAUAUAAUAUUAUAUUUAAAUAUAAUAUUAUAAAAGCAAAAGCAGGCAGAUGGGGCAGUUUGUUCUUUUAAAAGCAAAGCAUGCGUAUGGGGACAUGUUUUUUUUUUUUUUAAUAAUAUAUAUCUUAGUAUAUAUUAUAAUAUAUAGGGAGACAAGAGAGUGACAAAAAGAGAAAUAUUAAUGAAUAUAUAUUAAAGUAAAGAAAAAAAAAUGUGCAUGUUCGAAGUGAUAGUAGAAGUAUAUUAUAUAAAUAAAUAUAUAAUAAUAUAUAUAUAUAUUUAUAAUUAAAAAAAAAUGCACGCGCAAGAGCUCAUGACAAAUGUUCUUGUAAAUUAUAUUAAUAAAUAGAUUAUAUAUAUAUAUUUAUAAUUAAAAAAAAAUGCAGGCGCAAGAGCUCUGAAAAAUGAAUGUAUAAUUAUAGUUUAACCUUUAUAUGUAUUGUAAAAAAAUUAGAUUUUCACCCAGUAUUUGCAAAAGUAUUAUUUUAGCUCUAAAUUUCUUUAAUUACAAGUUUUAAUUCAAAAUAAGUUGUAAUUAUUAUUUUAACCACAGAAGUUUAAAUAAUUACAGAUAAACCCAAUAUGUACGCCACUUAUAUAUAUAUAUAUAAUUUUUGUUUUUAUUUAAAAAAAACAUAACAAAAAUUAUUAUUAUUUUUCAUAGUUGGUAAUUGACAGAUUUACUAAAUUUUGGAAAAAAUUACAUCUAUAUCCAGAUUUUAUGAAACUUAUAAAUUGGCAAAGUGUGGAAAUUAUAAUUUUAUAAACCAUAUUUUGGUCAACCGUACGCGGUUGACUUGGAUCAGAGUUGAUAGGCUACGGCCUUAGGCAGCUGUGUGGGCUGACUUUGUGAACAAGGCGGUUGAAGCUUUUGUUCAUAUUGGACGGUUGGAGGUUUUUCGAACCGAUUAGAGUUGGCCAUUGCAUACCGUUUCGGGUUUUCAAGGGUCAAUCUCUCAGCUAGGGCGUUGCCUCUCAAAAACACUUGAGUAUAAAAUUGUAUACCAUUUAGGUGAUUAUUGUUUAGAUUGUUAAUUAUUCUAUUGCGAUAUUGUGAGGAUCUAUGCAACUUUAUAUGUGGUUGAUCUUUUUCAGAUAAGAAAAAAAAAAACUCGAAAACAUGGCGACUAAUGCUGUUGAAACAAGCACUCAAGUUGCAGUUUCUGGGAGAACUGCGGCUCGAACCCCUGGUGUUCACAACGAUCCCGAUGGCUCAUGGUGGAAAACCAAGAAAAGUUUGGUGGGGCUGAUUUCAAGACGAUGGCAACGAAGAUGAUGUUUUAUCUUACGUGCUAAAUCUCGCUGGAUGCUUAAUGAAGAAGCUCAGUUGUACUGAAAAGAGACGGAUACGUCAGCAGGUGAUUGCGAGAGAUCACUGAAAAAUGUGAUUAUCUAGGCAAGAAUUAUAUUCUCAAUGCCCUGGAGGAUUUCUUUGAUAAUCGGUGUACAACGGAUCUUAAUCUUCUAAAGGGUUGUGGGAGUCCUUAGACCUGAAAUACAAGAUCGAGGAGCCGGUUCUAAGAAAUUUAUUGUUGGCCGGUUUUUAGACUAUGUUUAUGCUGGACAGAGAUCGGUAAACGGCUCAGUUCCAGGCUGCUCCAGGUUCUCAUAAAUGAAUCAAAGCAGAAGGAUGCUAUUGAGGAAGCAUUUUCUUUUUUGGGAGGGGGGGUUGGGGGGCGGAAGGGGGGGGGGGGGGGGGGGGAGGUGUGGGGGGGGGGGGGGGGGUGCGACGGGUGGGGGGGGGGGGGAGUGGUUUUUUUUUUUUUUUUAGUGGCUGCAGUCAUCCACAAGCUCCCAAAGAUAUGGAAAGAGUUCAAGAGCUAUCUCAUGUUUCAAAAAUAAGGAGCUGACCUUGGAGGCUCUUUUCUCAAGCUACAUGUUGAGGAGAAAAACAGGGCAAGAAACAAGGUGCCAACCCUUCUAUUGGCCAAGCUACACAUAAUGAGCAUGGUCAGUCUCGAAGACGAAGAAGUCUUUUCAAGGACAAGUGGUCAAAUGAACCAGAAAGGCAAGAGUAUGUCAAACGGGACCAAAGGGCGAUUACAAAGAAGGCCCAUGGAAAAGUGUUAGGGUACAUGCUUCCCACUGUAACAAGUUUGGCAUCGUGCUUCAUGAGUGAAGAAAACCAAUGCAACCUCGAGUUAAUGCAAUAUGACGAAGGUCAUCACGGAGGGUGUAGAUGAUAUCAACCUCUCAAGCAUUUUUUCUGAAGUGCAACCAUGGUGGGGUCAAACCCCCAAGAAUGAUGGAUAGAUCACGGGGCUACCGACCAUGUCUGUUGCGAUAGACGUAGGUUCACUACCUUCGAGCAGCCAGCAAAUGGUGAACCGGUUUAUGAAAAAUUCAGCCACCUCCGACGUUGCGGGGAGUGGAAAGAAUUGAAAAGUGUUCGAAAAUGACUUCAGGAAAAGAGCUGAAUCUGAACAAUGUGUUAUCUCGGCCUGAAAUCCGGAAGAAUAUAGUGUCUGGCUAUCUGUUGAGCAAACCAUUUUUGGGGGUUUGAUUCGUAUGGUUUGUGAGGCAAAUAGAGUUACUCUGUCAAAAGGCUUGGGGAAUGUAUGUAGGUAGGGAAAUGUUAUAUGAUUGAUGGAUCUAUUCAAAAUGAAUGUAAUGACUGUAAUCCCUACAAUUAAUAAGAAAAAUUUCCCAGUGUUUAUGUGCUGGAGCGUCCAUUUUGUGGUAUGGCAGAAAUAGCGCCAUGUAACUUAUGAUGCUAUUUACGUAGACUAAUUAACUUUGCGACCCAUUCCAACAUUUCACAAUUGAUAAAAAGCACAAGUGUGAGACUGGUUGAAGCAAAGUUACUAGGUCUUCAUUUCCUCGAUGAAAGAGAGUACGAACCAUUGGGGUUAAUUUCCAAAUUAUGUGUGUGAUUUGAAGUAUGUUGCGAGAAAACACCCAAUGCUAACAAGUAUUUCAUUACAUUCAUUGAUGAUUGUAUGAAAUGACUGAUUUUGUGUGUACUUGCUAAGAAGCAAGGAUGAAGCUUUGGACAAAUUCAUUCUUUAUAGAAUAAAGUAGAAAAUCAAUUAGCAAGAAGAUUAAAGUUUGCCGAAGUGAACGAGAGUGGUGAAUAUGACUCCAACGUUGUUGGAUACUAUGGAGAAACGGACUUAUCUGAUCAAACGACUGCAUCUUAUUCUCCUCAACAGAAUGGAACUGCUGAACGAAAAGAUCGUACCCUAAAAGAUAUGAUGAAUGCUAUGUUGAUAAGUAUUCUGGAUUGCCUCAGAACAUGUGGGGUGGUGAGCGAUUCUCACUGCCAACUAUAUCUGAAAUAGUGCCUCGCAAGAAGUUGGAUAAAUCCACGUAUGAGUUAUUUAAACGGAGGAGUCCACUCGACUUUUACGUAUGUGGGGAUGUCUUGCGAAGGGUGGGCCAUACCUCCUCCUAAAAAGGAAAAGAUUGGUCCCCAAAAAUGUUGUGCUUGAUGGUGUAUUCACGGUUAUGCCACAACACAGUAGUGCCAUAUCGGUUUCUUGUGUAUGAGUCUGUAAUACCAGAUAUCAUCAAGCAUACCAUACAUGGAGGAUAGGAAUGCGUCAUUCUUUGAACACAUUUUUUUUAAUUUUUCCAUAUAGAUCCAUUGGUGAGUCAAGUUCAGUGGAAACGGAAUCUGGCAUCCUACUAAUGACGCAGCAAGACCAAAAAGAUGGAAUUUGAAAUAAAAUUGCAGACGUAGCAAGAGAAUAGAAUGUCAACAUCUUUUGGUCCAGAUUUCCUAACUUAUAUGUUAAAAAUGAGCCUCAGACAUACAAGGAAGCAGUGAGUUGUCCUUGAAGGUCCAUUGUUGGAAAGAGGCUAUAAGAGAUGAGAUUGAAUCUAUUCUUCAAAAUCAUACGUGGGAACGGCGAUAGUUUACCGCCAGGCAGUAAGCCUUUGGGGAUACAAAAGGGAUCGAUUUAAGAGAAAGAUGAAAGCCGAUGGAUCCAAUAGAUAAGUACAAAGCUAGACGCUUGUUAUCAAAGGCUAUAGACAAAACAGAAGGUCGAGACUACUUUGAUACUUAUUCACGCAAGUCUAUAGAAUUACAUAUUAGGGAUGAUAAUUGCUGGAUCGCAAGCUUUGCGAAAUCUCGAGAUACAUAAGAGGUGCUAAAACGGACUUCCUGAAUGAGAUUUAGAUGAAGAACUCUACAUGAACAACCUGAGGGUUUUUCACGCACUUGGAAAGAAGGGAAAGUCUGAUAGACUGUAGUCAUUGUAUGGUAUCACAGCAAGCACGAAACAAUGGGCAUAAGAAGUUUGACAAAAUGUUGUAUUGUCUAGUGGCUUUCCAAAAUCAACGAAUGUGAUAAAUGUGUAUAUGCAAGGACACAGACGAAGGGUUAUGUUAUUGUGGUCUUACACUGAUGCAUGAUCAUGUUGGUAGUAACGAUAAAGUUAUCAAAUCAUACAAAGACCUUAAAUUUUCGAAAUUGAUAAGAAGGAUAGGGAAUAGCCAGAUGUGAUUCUGGGUAUGAAAUUACCAGAAUAUCUGACGGAAUUGCAAUUUCUCAGGACACACUAUAUUGAUAAAAUUUUCACCCAAAAAUUCAAUAAAGUCUGUACGAAUGUGGCAAGUACUCUUAUAGAUGUAAAUCUCCACUUAUCUAGAAUGGGGGGAAGAUGACUCCCAAUUGGGAGUAUUCUCGUAACAAUUGGAAGUUUAAUGUAAUUGAUGAGUUGUACAAGACCCGAUAUCGCCUACUCAUUGAGCAGACUGAGCAGGUAGCACAAGUAAUCUAGGAAGUGAUCACCUGGAAGGCGAUAGUAAGGGUUGCUACGCUAUUUAAGAUAUAUCGUGGUUUUGGACUGCAUUACACUAGAUUUCCCCCCACCAAAAGUGCUAGAAGGGUAUUUGCGAUACAAAUUUGAUAUCAGAUAUGAAAUACUCGAAAUCCCACGAGUUGGAUAUGUCUUCAUGCUUGGGUGGUGCAGCGUGUCUUGGAAAUCUUCUAACUAAACAGACGUGCAUUGCACGUUCUACUAUGGAAUCAGAGUUUAUUGGCUCUCAAUACGGCGGCUGAGGAGGCAGUGGCUAAGCCAGUUUUUGGAAGAUAUCAAGUGGUUGAAACCUGUGUCUUCUGUGCUAUUAACCAUCCACUGCGAUAGUCAGUCUGUCGAUUGGGUAUGGCACAACGUAAUAAUGUAAUAAUGUAAGUCUAUACAUAUUCGUCGUAGACAUAAUACCAUUAGACCACUACUCUCAAUUGGGGUUGUCGCUAUUGAACUACGUGAGGUCAAAUGACAAUAUUGUGGGAUCCACGACUAAAGGGUUACCUGGAUGAGUUCUUUUGAUCUAGCAUCGAAAGAAUGGGGUUUAAGCCUAUGAAAGAGAAAGAUAUCGUAAGGAAAACCCAACCUAGGCUGACUGGAGAUCCCAAAUCUAGGUUCCAAUGGGACAACCUACUUUGCGUAUAUCUAAAGAAUCACUGUGGGUUGAAAACUCUACCUGUGCCUAUCAUGCAAUAAGUGAUUGUGGAUAAGUUAAGCAGUAGCUUUUUAAUGACUCUUUGGGUACUGGUGGCCAGGACUGGAUAUUAGUGAAAGUUCAUAUAAGAAGUCACCUAUGUGAGGUAUGUGAAGUGGGGUCCUUCUUUGAAAAUUUUGAGAUGCGAAAUUUUCAAGAAAAUACUUGCAGAACCAGGAAGAGUGUUUCCAUGGCCGAAAUGGACACAACAGUGAGAACUAAAACUGCGUCAAGAGAAUUCCCCUGUGUGACCGUCUUUUGUCUCAAUUUACACCUGCGGCGGUCAACAGUUCAAGGCGGGCUCGCCCACUUGGUCUGCUAUUACAUUCGAUAGGCUCUUCACAAGGAAAGUUCAAGGCCAGAGAGCUACCUACCUCUGCAGGAUCAUCUGUUGUCUCUCUCUGCAAGUCUACAUUAGUCCGCAUGAAAUUUUCAUUCAUGGGGGGAUUGUUAGAAAUUUUGUGUGAUGAAAACCAUAAGAGGAAUGGUUUUUAACACACUCCCUAAAAAGAGUUUAUUAUAGAACCAAAUUGCAUCUUCUUUAACAGCCCUAAUGGCUACUUUAAUCUUGUCAUUACAGCCUCUAACGGCUGUCAUGGUGAAUCACAAGCACCUCGUGAUGAUGGUUAAUGUCCCACUAGAAUUAUAAUGAUUAAAAUAGAGGCAUUUGUUUUUUGGCUAUAACUGCUGAGGUUUAGCAUCUGAAGAAAAACACACCAAUACAAACACCAAUAGAAACAAACACACCAUACUUUGAGUUCUUUGAGAGGAGAGAGACAGAUACAGUUGAGUUCGGCCAGGCGCGUGGAGGUGUUCCAAAGUAGUGGUGUCUAACCGUUUUUCCUUGUGGGGGAAAAGAUGAUACUCGAUAGACCCUACAACCCCUCGUAGCGGCGAAUCUUUCUUCAGGAGACUGCGUGCAGACUCGGCUUCUCUGUUUGUAUCUUUAUAUUUUCAGUUUUCUGUAAUUUAAAUUCUAUAUUUUAAUUGAUUAAUGAAAUUAUUUUUGAAAUUCCUUGUAUUGGCCGAAUCAAUUUUUUCCAACAUUUACAUCAAGCACCUAUGAAUUGGUUGAUUUACGCAUAACAUUGAGGCUCUCCAGUACUAAAAUGUCGCUAUAGAUCAACUACCCAUUAACAAGAAAAUAUGGUUCAAAUCCUCCAUAACAUAUGUUAAAGCAAUAAAUUUAUCAGCGUUCAUCCGAUUGCAAUCGAAAAUCACAAUUAGCACGACACAUGGCAAAUAACAAUGAAUCCAAGUCAAUUAAAGAAUAUUAAAUCAAAUCGAACAGAAAUGUGAUCAAGAGAGCUUCGCGAUCAAAAAAGGAAAUUCAUUGGACUAAAUGAAGUAAACGAAAUUCAAAUUCAUCACGAAAACCAGAGAAAUAUAUAGAUCCAAAAUUCGUGGGGGUUUCCAAUUACCGAUCGCAAAGAAACGAAUUCUUCCGAUUGAGAUGAGGGAGAAAUCAAGCGUCGGGACUGGAUUUGUAGCGGUAGAGCUUACCGAAGACGUGGAGAGCGGUGAAGAAGCCGAUGAAUGAGAGGCUUAUUACGAGAACCACGGUGAGGCUGAUCUUCGGCCACGAAGCGUCGUCCGUGUAGAACCUCAGCACGUUGCUUCACCGCCUCCGCCUCAUCCUGGCGGUUGCCGCUGCGGAACCGCGGGGGGCGGGGCGGGAGGAGGUUGAUGCUUGGGAUUGGGAUGAACCUUUCGCCAUUGUUUAGAAGUGCGGACUUGGCGAGGUGAGAGAGAGGGGGUAGUAGAACUGUAAUUCUUGGGCAGUUUGUGGUGCUAUUCAAUGAACUCUUACAUUGCGGUAGCUACCAUUUCCUUAGAUUUUAGUUGAGUUGGAUCAUGGGGGUCAAGGAUCCUGUCUUAAUAUUUCUGUCCCCGCCAUCUGUCCCCGCCACCUGUUUCAGUGCUAAAUAGUUGACACGUGUCUUUUUAUAAUUUAUAAAGAAAUAUUAUGUAAUUAUAUUAAUUACAAAAUAACACGUGUCAACCAUUUAGCACUGCGGCAGAAAGCUGGGACAGAAAUAUUAGGAUGGGGAUUCUGGCCCCAUGAUCCCUCGUUAUGAAGUCUGGAUCUAUAACGGCUUUUGGCUUGAGCUAGUCAUUGGACGCCAUCAAGUUUAUGGUUUCGUAAACUAAAACAUCACAAACAUGGAUGCCAGGAAUGGAAUUUAACAAACUUGGAAUCUAUGAAAUGGGGGUAAAAAUAUGGAUCAAUUUGGUUAUUUAAUUGUUAUAUAUGAUCAAUUUGGUUAUUUAACAAAUAUAAUGGAAUUAAAUUUUUAAAAAUGCCCCAAUUAUAAUAAAAGGUACCGUAUAAGUAUCAAUACUCAUACAUGUACGAAUCGUUUAUACCAAAUAAGGUAAAAAAUUGUAAAAGAGGGAACACAGGUUUUUGAAAGUAGGGUGUUGGCCGGAAAAUCGAUCACACCAAGUCACACAAAUCAAGAUAACUCAGACACACUAACACAAUUGAUUACGAGGUCGCAAGAUGCCUACGUCCUCGGGUGACAGAGUUUCACUAUUUAUGGAAGAAAACCGAUUACAUCUCAGUUUCCUCUCUCAAACAGACAAGAGAGAAGAAAUAAACCAAAUAAACUAAACUACGCUUCUAUCUCCUUCUCCUAUAUCUGAGCCUUGUAUGUCUUUUUAUAGCAAAGGAUAGAAUUCAAAUCCAACAAGGAGGACUGUAAUUCCAUCAAAAAAGAAGUUGAAGCCAAUCCAACACAAGGUUGAAAACCAAUCAAGAUUGAAGAGUUUGAAUCCAACUCCAAACAAUCUCAACCUUGCGAAACUUCUCCCAAAUAAGAGUAACGAUUGUGCCACCAAUGCGCUUUAGCCCUUGCUGCGGGGAGAUAUUGAUCAAGUCCAAGGCAAUGUUGAAACUGAUCCCAGAAGAGACAACAACCUUUUUUUUUUUUUUUUUUGUUUUUUUUUUGUCAUUUUUUUUUUUUCUUUUUUUUUUUUUUAUGUCCUUUUUUUUUUCAUUUUUUCAUAUCAGCAGGGUGUUCGCAGUAACUGAUCUUCUCUUAAAACAAUUAUAUCUCCUUCAUUCAAAAAUUUCUCGAAACACAAAAUGGAAAUCGACAUCAUGUGCUUGGCGGUAUGAGCAUUGAUGGCAACAGAAUUCUUCGCUAAACAACUAGCACCGACGUCACAUUAAAACUGUACUAUGCUCUUGAGAAAUUCCCAAGUCAUUGAUAAAACCAUGUACCAGAAGAUUCUUUAAACGCUUCUGUUCACUGCCAUAUUACUAUGCUUCAGGUUGGGACAAGCAAUGUAGAUGAAGAGUAGACGCCAAUAACCGUCCACCAGCCAUAAGGCCAUAGUAAAAAACCAUAUCCAGUCGUCGAUCGCCGGUGGUCAAGAUCACCAGCCAUUAAAUCAGAAUUUCAACAGAACCAACUGAAUUAUUGACUGGCUUGUCGUUCCUCUGAAUUUCAAAACCAACAUCGACUUGUACCAUGAAUAUACCGCAGGAAUCUCAUUUCACGGCUGCCAAGUGUGAACUUUUCCUGGAUCAUGAUAUACCUGCUGCCAUGUAACAGCAGGUGAAAUUAUCCGGUCUUGUAACACACCAUAACAUACAUCAGAGCACCAACAACAUUAGCAUUAAGGGGAACACUUCGACCAUAUGCUUUCGCCUCAUCAUUGUGCAAGGAGACAUAAGAAGCAUCUUUGAAGUGAAAGAGGCAACGGCGUACAAACAGGUUUAGCUGAAACUAUAUAUGCAAAUUUCUGUAGAACUUUAUUCAAAUACUGAGUUGAGUCAACCAAAAUGUACCUUCACUCUGUCCCUCUUAAUCUCAUUCCCAGAAUUUUCUGGCUUCACCAAGAUCUUCAUUUCAAUCUGACUGAGUGGAGCGGUCAAUCUGUCAAUUUCCAACCUUGCUCUUAGAUGCGCAUCAGCAUAUCAUCCACAUAUAAGAGCAAUUAAAUCAUGGAACCGUCGUGGAGUUGCGGAAAUACACACAAUGAUCAAUGAAUCCUUAUAUAUUGUUGCUCCACCAUAAACUGAUCAAAUCGCUUAUUAUUAACCACUGUCGAGGGGAGACUUGCUUCAAGCAAUAUAAAGACGUACUAAACCGACAUGCCAAAUGUUCUUUGCAAGGUUACUUUGAACCAUCUGAUGGUUGAGCCAUGUAUAUUUCCUAUCCAAAUCACCCUGUAGAAACGGUUUUGACUCGAGUUGAGCCAACUCAGAGCAAAUGAGCAAACCAAAGCUAAUUAAAAUACGAAUAGACGAAUGCUUAACAAGGAGAAAUAAAUCAUUAAGUCUAUCCUUCUUUCUGAGCGUAGCUUUCGCCACAAUCAAGCUUGUGGAAUCUGAGUCCUGGAGUAUCUUCCUUUUGGAAAAACACAUUGCAACCAGAUUUGCUUCUUUCUUUAGGCAUUGUACCAAACUCCCAAGUCUGUUCUUGUGAAGCGACUUCAUUUAUAAUCCAUAGCAUACUUCAUUUUAGAUUUUCGUACUUUGUUAUGGAACCUUGUAAAUACACCGGAACUCCCUCAAUCACUGGAAGUGCAUAGGCCACAGUAUCACGUAUAUUCGAGCAGGUCUCGAAUCACUCUCGGUUUCUACUAGUCGCGAUAGAAUCUUGCUGAUUGUGAAGUUUGAGCCUAUUUCAAAUUGUUUGGUCUGUUAGUACAACAUCAUCGGAUUCUGUCAGAAUAUCAAAUUUCUCGGAAAAGUCUUAGUUGGCACUACUUGACUCUGAAGCUCCACCUACUGAGUAGGAUGUUCGGACUCAGAUUUCUCUUUCUCCGACAGAUGUAAACAUCCCAGACUCAUCAAAAGUAGUACAUCUCUGCUCAGAACAACUUUCUUAAAAUCGGGCCCCAAAGCUGUAUGCCUUUGUACCAGAACUAAAACCCAAAAAUAUGGCUUUCCUUGGCUCUGGAUCCAACUUGGAUUCAGUAGUCACUAUAGAAAAAUGCAGAACAUCUAAUACAUGCUAAAUAAUCACUAAUCUGAAACAGGUUUGACCAGGACCAUACAUCCAUUGGUGUUUUGUCACCAAUCACAGCUGCAGGUAAUUCUGUUUGACGAGAUGAGAGGCAUAGCUCACUGCCUCUGCCCAAAAGGCCCGUUGCUCAAUCCGAUGAGUUGUGAGAACAACAGGCAUCGAAAUUUCGUCACCAGAGUACGGUUCAUGCGUCUGCUACUCCGUUCUGCUGAGGCUGUACGACGAAGUGUGAAGUGUUUGACUUAUCCCUUCCUCUGGCAUAUCUUGAGAAAUGGAUCAUAUCUGUAUUCGCUCCAUUAUAAGAUCAAGAGCUUCUUGAUUUUUCUGCAUGUUUCUGAUUCUCCACCAUUUGCUUCCAACCAGAAAGGUAUAAGAACUUCAUCUUAUGUUUCUAGUGUAGACCCAAACUCGUCUGAGAAAGAAAUCGUCGAUAAACGUAAACAAACCAAUGUAUACCUCCCAAAGAAGAAGCCGUGUAGGUCCCAAACGUCAGUGUGAACAUAACCAGAUGCCUUUUCAGUUGAUGAAGUGCAGUGCCCAAACUUUAACACUAGUCUGCUUGCCCAACACACAAAUGCUCACACAAAUCAAUUUGUCCAGUCUUAGCUCCUUGUAGAAACUCAUUGUCGUACAAAGUUUGCAACAAAGCAUUAUCACCAGGCUGCCCCAAUCGCAUAUGCCAUAAAUCUAAAAAGUAUCUGAUCCAUCUAAUGUUGGAAAACGGCAACUACCCAUGUGACGAGGUAUCCCAUCGAGGAAAUGAAAGUAUACAAUUUCCCUUUCGCGUGCUCCUAUCAUAGAAACAAUCGCAAACUCGAAACAACUUUCAGAAUACCUCUUUCCAUAUGACCUUAUAACCUUUGAGUCUUAAGGUCCCAGAGAGGAUAAGAUUUUUCUUCAAAGUCCGGUACAUACGAACAUCAGUCAAAACUCUGAUAGUUCAUCGAACACCUUCAGUAGGAUCGUGCCUAAUCCCCAUUGUUUGCAGGCAUUGUCAUUACCCAUCAGAAAACACCCCCGUCGAACUCCUCAAGGCUCAAAAACAAAUCUCGGUAAGGAUCAGUUGAUAGGAACAUUCCCGAAUCCAGAAUCCACUCGUCAGAUGAUUAGUGGAUGUUUGCAACUGUCAACACUCAUCCAAAUCUUCAUCUUCUUUUUGUUCGGUGCCACAUUUGCUUUUGCGUUAUUUCUUUCCUUUGAUCGGACAAUAGCCAUUCCAAUGGCCUUUCCGAGGACAAUAGGCACACUUCAUCUUUGCAAGUUGGCGCCUAUCAGAUGAUUUUUCUCUGAUGUUGAGCGAGAUUUCACCUCCCUGUAGAUUUUAUGCGGGUACUGUUACACUCACCCCUUGCUUGUAAAUGAAUCUGAAACUCGAUUCCCUGUGAGCAUACGAUCUUUCUUCGUACCUCAUUAUUCAUCAAGGCAUUAGACACAUCAUUAAAAUUCAUUUCAUCGUUACCAUAUAAGAGAAGGUGGUAGUUGUCAAAUGCUCAGAAGUUUCAGGAAAGGCAAUUUAAUAACAAAAGAGCUUAUCUUCAUCACAAUUUCAACAUCCAGAUUUGCAGAUCAGCCAAAAUUUUAUUGAAACUUUCAGAGCUCAUUCAUAGACGUACCUUGCUUGUAUUGGAAAGCAAAGAGUUCUUUUUAGAUAAGCCGGUUCUCAACACUCUGCGUCAUGUAAUUUCUCGGUUUGUCCAUAACUCCUUUGAUGAGGUCUAUUUCCAUAACAAAAAAAAAAAAUACUUCUGGUCUUUGGCAAGACAAAGUCUGAUAGUACCGCAGCUUGGCGAUGAAG
rnacentral:lncRNA from 1 species